rnacentral:rRNA from 1 species
AUUGAACGCUGGCGGCAGGCCUAACACAUGCAAGUCGAACGAGUGGCGGACGGGUGAGUAAUGUCUGGGAAACCGCCUGAUGGAGGGGGAUAACUACUGGAAACGGUAGCUAAUACCGCAUACCAUCAUUUCUCCCCAGAUGGGAUUAGCUAGUUGGUGGGGUAACGGCUCAACACGGCGACGAUCCCUAGCUGGUCUGAGAGGAUGACCAGCCACACUGGAACUGAGACACGGUCCAGACUCCUACGGGAGGCAGCAGGGGGGAAUAUUGCACAAUGGGCGCAGGCCUGAUGCAGCCAUGACGCGUGUAUGAAGAAGGCCUUCGGGUUGGAAAGUACUUUCAGCGGGGAGGCGGUACCCGCAGAAGAAGCACCGGCUAACUCCGUGCCAGCAGCCGCGGUAAUAC